GAUGAACGCUGGCGGCGUGCUUAACACAUGCAAGUCGAACGGAAAGGCUCCUGCUUGCAGGGGUACUCGAGUGGCGAACGGGUGAGUAACACGUGGGUGAUCUGCCCUGCACUUCGGGAUAAGCCUGGGAAACUGGGUCUAAUACCGGAUAGGACCACCUUUUGGAUGGUGUGGUGGAAAGUUUUUCGGUGUGGGAUGAGCUCGCGGCCUAUCAGCUUGUUGGUGGGGUAGUGGCCUACCAAGGCGUCGACGGGUAGCCGGCCUGAGAGGGUGUACGGCCACAUUGGGACUGAGAUACGGCCCAGACUCCUACGGGAGGCAGCAGUGGGGAAUAUUGCACAAUGGGCGGAAGCCUGAUGCAGCGACGCCGCGUGGGGGAUGACGGCCUUCGGGUUGUAAACUCCUUUCGCUAGGGACGAAGCGCAAGUGACGGUACCUGGAGAAGAAGCACCGGCUAACUACGUG
rnacentral:rRNA from 1 species